UUGAACUGUUAUCUUGAACAUUUAUUAUGGUUGUUGGACAUUGCAAGAUUUUGUUAUUUUAAGAACUAAGUUUGCAUGUUGCUAAAUUAUUGUUCCACUGCGUAUUUAGAGCUGUAAGACCUUAUGACUUAAGUUAGUCAAUGGAAUAAGAUUGUAUUUAUUUAGUUGAAUUAUUUUAUAUUUAUAAAAUUGAGAUGUUUGGUUAAGAUGCCUUGCAUGCUCGUGAGGAGAGUUUCCUACGGCGGUUGGCACGACCCCGGCUCAUAAUUUCGGGCCGGGGGCAUGACAACUUAAGUGGUAUCAGAGCGGAGUUGAUAAAAUCUAAGACAAAGAAUCAGACACGAUAUGAGUGUAGGUGGGUAGACACUAGGGACAUUGGGAUGUUAGGUGUGAAGAAUGUGAUGACUAUUCUAAAAACUUACAAUUAAUUUGGUAAGCUUUUUAUUAAUUGUAAGUUUUUUAUGAGUAUGCUGUUAUUUGAUGCAUAUAGGUCAGGAUGCCUCCACGUCGGGCGAAAAAGACAAGUUUUCAAACUUUGUUCUCCUUAAACUACUGCAAUUUAAUUUGUCUUGUCAUUCUACCUUCUAGCAGCAGCAUCCUAGUAGUGAAAGUCCUUUAAGAUUCAAGGUAAUAGAACCCAUAUUACUCCACACUCACAUAUCAAAUCUCUAUCCCUUCCAAUUAGAAACCAGUGGCAUGUCUGUGCAUUCAUCUAGCCAACCCUUUGGUGGUUUUCCUCAUUCUCAAGGGAAACACUAUAAUGAAUGCUUAUUGAGAACAUCUAGAACACUCCAUUUAUAUUACAAUCUUUUCAAAAGACUUGGUGUUUUUAAGCUGCUUUUGAAUCUAGUGAUUACUGAAGCAACCACGAAGAGAUACUAAUUUAUGUUAUUUUGUAAGAAAGGUAAGGUAUUGUUCAAGGAUCACCGAACCGGUACCGGUCGGCGCCAGUACCGGUUCGAACUGGUUUGAACCGGUACCGAACCGGCCACAACGCGCGCGGUGGGUGCGAACGCGCGCGGCGAGCGCAAGCGCGCUCGGUUGUGGCAUUUAAUAAUGCCACUGUAGCUACAAUGGCAUUAAAAGCCACAGCACGCGCGCAGCGCGCUCUGAAAACCAAACUCGGUGCCAGUUCGCACCGAGUCCUGGUGUACCGGUUAUUGUUACAAUAUAGAAUAUUUUACAUUGUAAGUAGGUUUUAUGAAAGAGUUAAGAGAUAUAUAGCUUUGGUUAAGCUCCAUCCAAUCAAAUGGCCUUUGUUAAUAAUGGAUCAAUAUAAUUGAUAUUUUGACUGAUGAUGGUCUCACCUUGGAAUUCGAAUGAGUCUCCGAUAGUGACAAUUUCAUAUAAAGGCUUAAGAAAGAAUGCAACUUCAUGUUAACUACUAGGUUUAGCAGUUUAGGUGGGUCUUGCAAGCACAAAUGGAACCUAUUAGACUAGACAAAAUAGGGAAAACAUCAAAUUAUAAGGAAAUCCAAUCAUGUACAGGGAAUCUAACAAAUUGGUAAUUUUUGGACAUGAAAAACAAGAAAAAGAAUUUGCUCAAUAAAGAAAUCAAGAGAAAAGACUAGGCAACAAGCACAUUAGGCCAAAACAAGCAAAAGUGAAAUCUAAUUGGCAUCAAUAGGGUAAACAAAUUGUGGUAUUAAAAGGAUUUUAAUGUUCAUGAGCAAUAUAUACUUGUCUAAGAAAAGAGACACAACAUACAAAGGAAUGGAUUAGGGAAAAACAGUCCUAAGAUGGAUCGAGGCCCAUUUAAGUAGAUAUUAAUUGUAGCAGGUUGAUUAAACAGAAAUAUUGUCGUAGUAGGAUGCCAAAAUUGAUACCAUAUUUAUAUGGAGAAUAUGGAAUGGAAACGUAAUUUGGAAGACCCUAGAAUGUGGUUCAUCCUCAAAUAGAUGAAAAGCAAUGUCCUACAAAACUAAUUUCGAUGACAAUUCAAAGGUUCAAAUCUCACAAUUAUGGCAUUUGUGCAUAAACUUGGGAUCUCUUUUCAAAAUUCACACAUAAAAUACAAAACAAAACUAGAAAAGAAAUCGGCCACCUUCAGCAGUUACUUGCAACAAGAUUACUGAGUUAAAUUAACUAUUCAAGAACCAUCACUAGCAAGAAUCUGGUUCAGUCAAAAAGAUCCAAUCCAGUUACAAGAUAUAAAUAAUGCCAAAUCUACUGCCAAAAACUUUCAUUAUGGUCCUAAAUCUUCAGUUCUGAGCCUCUCAUCUCAUGAGACUUGAGAAGUCAGUCUAUAAAUGAACGUGCCUCUUAUAAGGGCAUUAAGCGAAUAUAUUUCUAAUGAGCAAGGCAAUAUAAGAUGGCCCUAUGCCUACACAUCUUUCAAAAAGCAUGAUCUAAGGACUUAUAAACAAAUGACAAGGAAAACAAAAGAAAGACAACAUGAAGACGGUAUAAUGAAGAUAUAUAUGCAAUAGUGCAUAAAUAUUAAUUUUUGUACUAAUUGAUUAUCUUAAACAGGGAAUAUAGGUGAUGGAAAGUUUAUUUAAUUCACUGGAAAGAACGUCAAAUUAUUGGCAAAGUCCCACAGAUAAGCUUCAUCAUAUUAACACCAGUUCACCACCAUAAGUAAUAAAAGAUUAUGAAGGUACAAAUAACACAUAAUCAAACAAGUAUACACCCAAUCUCUACAAAUAUGGUAUGCAUUUCAAAUUGUUCAUACAAAAUUACUAACUAAAGGAAUAAAUAUAAAACACAAAAAAUUAUAAGGUUAUUGCCAUCACCAAUAAAUUACUUCAUCUAACCAAUCUUGGUCACUAUUUAUGUCUAUAUCCUUGGAGAAGCGCUCCUCCUAUACAAGUGUUCAAGUAAGAGAGAAGGAAGCGAAGAAAAACUCAAGAUCAAGAUAAAUACCUGCUCAAAAGAACAAAAGAGUAAUCCUCUAGGCCAAUUUCACAUAGACGCCACUACAAAACAGUAAAGUUUGAAUACCAUGCUGUAGAACAACAGUUCAAAUAAAUAAAUGAAUAACAUAUAUUAUCAAAAAUGUUUGCAAACCAUACUUUUUGACGCAUUGCUAUAGCAGCAUCAGGAGCAUCAUUUCUAAGACCACUUUCAAGACCUUUCAUGAUCUGUGACCUUACAGUAGUCAAAGAUUGCAGGGUUCUCAUCAAAAAUUCAACCCCACUACUAUUUCCAAUGAAAUUGUCUGCUUCCUCCAGCUGCUCCAAACUCUAUGACACCAUCAAAAAUUUAUGUUCAUUUACACAAGAGAUGAGAAAUAUAUCUUUAGCCGGCACAUCCGGAACUAAAGGCAGUAUCUGUGAAGAAGAUGUUAAAUAAUAGGCAAAUAUUUUCAUCAUAUACAAAUUCUGCUUUUAUUUUAUCUGAAUCAUCUCACACAUCUCACUUGCAGCAGGCAAUGUGAUUUGAAAUUGACUCCACAUGCUUUGAUAUGAAUUCUAUUAGAUGAUUAUUAAGAUGUGAAGCAUACAGGGUAUAAGUGAUCACUAUUAGAAGAAGAAGCACUCUGACAGCAACAUGGAGACAUUGAAGAACAAAACUGGUGAUCGAAGCUCCAACUUGUGUUCAAAAAGCAGAAUAUAAGAAACCCUCACACCAAAAUCUACGACCAAGCAUCUCAGCAUUUGAACAGUGUCAUAUGGAAAAUGAAUGCAAACAUGAAAAUUGUAGGUUUCCUUUGUGCCUUUUAAAUUUCAUAUCAAUUUGAAGCUUAUGCAUUGUUUUAAAGUUUUCAGAUCUAGUGUAGCUCAUUAUUAUGUUUCUCUGGUUUUCAGAUCUAGAUGCAUGAUUGCUCCAGACUUGGAGAGUGCACUAGUUCUUUUGAAGACACUUUCCAUCAUUAGAGUUUUAGCUAGUCUAGUUAAAAUAUUUUCUUGACAACAAUAAAAAGUUGGAGAAAUGGAUUGACUCCUACAAGAGCAAGUGGCCCAUAUAUUUUAUUUAGUUUAUGUCAGCAAUUAGCAAUUGUUGACUUAUGUCACUUUGGAACUAUUGUAAGAAACAUUUGCAUAAGUUCUUGAUUAAAUAAGUUUUUAAAAAUUAGUAUUGCUUUGAUAUGAUCUGCAGCUUUGCAUGCUUGUAUGAUCCAUUAUACAGGUAUGCAGCAUCUGUCAUGCUCUGGAUUUAGGGUGCGCUCUAGGUUCGGGGCAUGACAGUUGUGGCCGCAGCAAAGCUCUCGCCGGAACUAAGACCUUAUAAUCCUUUAAUUUAUUUUGCUUCCCAUCUUCUCCGGCUUCGAGAUCAUGGAUUCCAGUCAAAUUAUUGCCAUAUUUCAUCAACAAUAGAGAUGCGCAGUUCAAAUUGUAGAUCUAUAUUUUUUGAUAUUGUUGGUUUUCUUUUCUUUUUCUUUUCUUGAGAUCUCCUAUAGUCCUUCCCUGCAUCCAUGUUUGCCCUGGUUUGCCACCGGCGAUGGUCGGCGUUGCGGCAGUUUUCUAAAUGUCCCUUGGUAUGGGGUUGGGUUCUACUCUUUCUUCCUAUUUCAUGCACCACAGGUCGUCAUUCCACCAUCAUUGGGCGACAAGCCUUCCAUCAUGGAAGGUUGUCUCCACCACUAGAUCAUCCCCUAGGUUCCCCUUCCUCUAUUUAAAACUAGAAGAGGAAGCCCUAAGUCAUCCCUAUUUCAUCUUCUCCCACAUUGUCUCACUUUACUUUUCUCUCUCUACUCUCUCUCUCUCUUCCAUGAUUAGUACAAUCCUAGCCAAGCUUUCAUCUCGGAGGACCUAAUUUCCAUGAGGCACUUUUGAUUAUUAGUUCAAUCCUAUGUAGGGUUAAAAAUUUAGGGUCUCUAUUUUAAAAUUUGUCAUGGCUAAAUAUUGAUAAAAAUAUAAUUUUGAAUAUUAGGUUUUGAAAGAGGCUCUCAGGAUUAGUUGGAUUUGCCCAUUCAUUAUUUUCGCAAAGGUAUAUUCAUUUAAAUAAUAUUAUUUUUGACAUCAAAUAAAUUGUUAAUCAAUUGAUAUGUGAAUUAUUUAUUUUAUGAAACCGUUUUGAAUGGAAAAUAAAUACUUAAUUUCAAAGUAAUAUUUUUUGGAAUAUUAAUAUGUUGUUUAUUGAACUUAUAUCAUGUAUGCAUAUUUUGAUUGGAUUAUAGUAUAUCGUUAUUUUAUAAGAAGAGCUUUGAUGCGUAUUGGAUUUAGACUCUCGACUAUAUUCGGGACCCUGCCAAUUGUGGGUUAUGCAUUGGCACCUUGAUUAUUAUUAAGCAUACUAUUCUACUUCUAGCCCCACCAUAUGGUAUAAUUAUGGUAUGUUGACCCAUGCUGUAGGGUAUAAGUAUGGUAUUCGGGCCCACUCCUCAUGGUAUAAGUAUGAUUAUGUUUCUGUUUCUAGCCUAGCCACAGGAUAUAACUGCAGACAUAGUUACAAGCUGCUGAGUUGAAUAUAAUUUAUUUUGAAUCAGAUUUAGAAGUAAGUAUUUGAAUAUUUGAAAGAUAUCGAAUUUGUUGGAUGUGUUUUGAAAAAAAUGAUUAUGUUUUAUAUUCAAUCAUGGUAAUUAGUAUUUAACUAUUAUAUCUUAUGUUAUUACAUAAAUUAUCUAGUUAAGGUAUUCGUUAUCUCUUAUCUCUUCUUUCUUUACAGAUUCAGAUUCUUAGUUGCGAACGCAGGUACCGCUGUACAGUGAGGCUAGAAGUGAGAUUCAAUAAUAUCGACAGAAUUUAGAUUUAGUGUCACUAUUAUUACAAUCUUUUUAUAUGUUUAUUAUUUGAGGUUUAGUUGAUGUAAUACCGUUGAAUUUUAUUGAUUAGUUAGAUUCGUUAAUUAAUUGAAUUUUGCAUUUGAGUGAAUUAAAUAAUUUUCGUUAUGAUGCAUUUGAUAUCAUAUUGGAAUGCCUGGCAUGCUUGAGAGGAGAGUUCUCCUUGAGUAUAUGGCAUUUGCCAUGACCCUGGCUCGCAAUUUCCAUCGAGGCAUGACAAUUGUUAUGGCAUCAGAGCAAUUAAUAUGGUAUCAAAGCAUAAGUGGAUGAAUCAUACCUCAUAAAGUCAAAUAUAAGAUGAGAGUAGGCCAAUAGAUACUAGGAACAUUGGGACGUCACUUUAUGAUGAUUUCAGCACAAGCUAUCUUAAUAAUUCUUCCAAUUAAUUAAUAAUUUUAAUAAGAAUUUUGCUACUAUCUGAUGAAUAUAGCAAAGUCCACAAUCUCAGUUCUGAGUACCAUAUCGGUACGUUAUUGGUUCGGUAUGGUUUAAUAUGGUAUGGUACACCUCUGUACCAAAUCAGCUCUCUAGUCAUUUUUUUCAAUUUUUAUCUCAAUACACCUCAGUCCAGUACGCUUCGAUAUGGGACGGUACGUACCUUAGUACGCCUCAGUACAGGUCGGUACACCUCGGUAUGGGACAAUAUGCCUCGGUACGGGGCGGUACACCUCGGUAUGAAAUGGUCAGGGCUUGUACCGACUUGAAGUUUAAUUUCAUACUGAUUUCCUCCUGGUACAGUAUGGGGCGAUAUGGGAAACCACAAAAUAUAGGUUAAAAUGUCUCCACGUUAGAUGAAAAAGGAUGCCAAAAAUGCUGCUAGAGAGGCAUCAAUCCAGCAAUUUGGUGACAACCCCCAGCAUGUCGGUGGCACACCACUAUAGGAGGGAGCCAUUGAUCUUCCCAGAAACAGUGAGUCAGAGCAGCAAGAAUCCGGUAUGACCCAACUAAUGCAAAUAUUAGUUGGAAAUUUGGAAUAAUGCAAACGCGACAGCAAUUGCAACAACAACUGCUACAACAGCAGCAAAGGCAACAACAUAUGCAAACAUAGCCACAACAAGGACAUGGGAGCAGUGACGUAACAAUAUUCGGGAGUCUAAGAAGCCGGCCCACAGGCUUUCAAGGGAGCUACAGAACCUUUGGAAGUUGAAAGUUGACUUAAGUAGAUGAAACAAGCAUUUGUUGUUCAAAGAUGCCAUGAUAAUGAAAAGAUCCUAUAUGCAUCAUAUAUGUUACAGGGUGAGGCAUUUAACCGGUAGCAGAUGCUAAAACGCAAAUAUAAACAAGAUAGAGAGCCACUCACUUGGGUAAGAUUCCGAGGAGCAUUUUAUGGCAAGCAUUUCCCUUGAAGCAUGAGGACUCGGGACUGGUAUAGUAGUUUCAAUCUCAUUUUAUAUAUUUGAAAGUAUAGUUCCACGUGAGCAUUUUAUGACAAGCAUUUCCCUUGAAGCAUGAGGACUCAAAAAGAGCAAGAGACUGGUAUAGUAGUUUCAAUCUCGUUUUAUAUAUUUGAAAGUAUAGUUCCAUGUGAAACAGGAUAUGCUAAAAGACUGGUAACUAGAUUUUUAUCUAAGACCUUUGGAUUUGUAAUACAUUUUCAGUCUUUUUUUUCAAGAAAUAAUCUGUUUUUUUGAUUAUUUGGUUUGUAACCAUAUUGAAUUAUUGAUUGACUAUGAUAUUCACACCUUGGGAUUCAAUAGUUCGAGUCUCAGGAAAAGACAAUUUUUGUUAUAUUACCUCAUAGUUAAUUGUUGAUUAUUGUUGCUGUAGGCAUCCUCUUAACAAUCACAUGAUAUCAUAUCAUACAACUCAUAGCUUAUUAAAAGCCAAUUGAAAUGAUACAGUGUGGUUUUGUGUGACAAUAAAAUCUAUGGCACGUACAUUAUCAACUCGUCAUAUAGGAUAUCCACCUGGCAUGUCACCCUAAAGGCUCAUGCUAUGAUAUUCGAGAAUCAAAAACCUAGUCUGAGUAUUUUAAAUGCAUUGUUUCCCACUCAUAAUAUUUCUAGAUGAUCAAAACAUGACACCUCUCCCCCUCAAUUCCACCUUUAUUUUGAUUCAGUCUACAAUUGAAGACAGAAUGCCAAAUAAUUGACCAAUUAGAUAAGAAUACAAACAGACAGAUGACUCCAUGAUGUUAAACCAUGGAGAAUGAUGGCUACUAUUAGUAGCUUGGACAAUGUAGAAUUUUACACUAUUUAUAUAAUUAUUAGGCAAUAUUAAAUACCAUUAAAUUCAACAAGAAAAAUUUUGGGCAAGAUUGGAAAAAUUAUUCCAAAAAUAUAUGAUUUUUCUGAAGAAAAGGAAUUUCUUUUAGAAAUUGUACAGAGAAAUCUAUACCUUUGCCAUUUAUCCAUGCUUUUCAAUCUGUCAACCAAAUGUACUUCACUUUUUGCAGACAAAUAAGACCAAUUCUCUAAAUAUCAAGAUACUAUAGAAACAACCAGCAUAAAAUUCAAAAAGAAAAAAGAGAAACAUUUUAAUAUCAAACACUGAAAAAAGGAGAAGCAUGACUAAUAUUAAGCAUUUUACGCCACUGUAGCUUUGUGUUAACCAUAAUAUCUUCCUGAUGACAAAGAUAAAUAUUUCAAAUCCUGCAAUCUGAAGUACUUAUCAUAUAUAAACAGUAGAAGGCAAAUUACCUUUUUGCAUUCCAAAAACAUGGCAACAGCUUGUAAAUUAUGCUCAUCCAAAGAUUCUUUCAUUGACUCCAGCUGUUCAGUAAGGCUGCAGUAGUGUUUAGUGAAGAGUUAGCAACUUAAAACAGCUAAAAUAAGUAUCUUUUUAGUUUUGCAUUCUAAUUUGCCCAGUUGCAUUAUUAAUAAUAAAGACUGACAGCCUGAUGCAGCUAUCUUUACAUGAACUUGGAUGCUUUCAGAACCUCCACUUGCAGUUCCAACUAGGAUGCCAUGAAAUAUUCAGUUUAGGCAUAUCAAGAAUGCAAAGAAUGAGAAUGCUCUUUACACAAUGUAAGUCCAUAAGAUAUCCUUUAAAUAGGUUGCCUGUGUGACAAAUUCCAGUCUUAGCAUUUUAUGCUCAAGGUUGAUAAACUGAUGAAUGCCUUCUAAACACCAGCAUAGAAAAUUUAAAGAGGGUCAAAAGUCAUAAUGCAACAACCUCCCAGCAUUGAAAAAAUCUUUAAGUUCAUGGUGAAAUAUUUUGAACUGUUCGAUAAAUGCUUCACUGUAUUCUCCAGGAGUCUUGGUAAUCUUAGCAAGCAUGGCUUCCGUAGCAAUCAAGUCUUCUGGACCAGCAUUUCGGUGAAGCUUGUUUUGUAUUGUAUGUUUAAUUUCUUGCUGUUAAUUGGAAAAGGAAUAUCAGUAACCAAAAAUAAAUACCAGUCGUAUCAACAAUACUGUAGUGAACGAUGACCUUCAGAUUGUGAGGAAUAUCACUGCGGUGAGCAAUAUCACGAAUUCGUGUUAGAGGAACGGAAGCAGUAAACUCUGAUUUGAAUGAAGGAAGGCAAGGGUGAAUUUUCCGGAUCACAAGUAAAUCCUGUAGACAUAUACAACAGCAAGCUAGUGAAUGAAACACAAAAAAAGAAUAACUAACUUGCAGGAAAUCUGAAAAUGCUAAAGCUACAUAGAAAAGUUAACAACACAUGGAGGAAAAGUCCAAUGGUAUAUGCUACAAUUUCCAUUAGAAAAAAUAAAGUAACAACACAUGGAGGAAAAGUUAACAACACAUGGAGAAAAGUCCAAUGAUGCGCAUAGUGGCUUAGGCCUAAAUUUUUUUAAAAAAAAAAAGAGAAAUAAGUAACCUUUAAUGCAUACUCAUAAGCUUAAAAAGGAGAAAUGGUAGGAUUCUACAUGGAUUUAAGCUCAAAUUAAUUUUCUCAAAUAUUCAUAUGAAUAUUAUUUUUGAGGGGUUGAGAAGAAAAGUAGCGGAAACCUCUCUGCCGCUUUCAUUUACAGUUGUGAAGGCCUUCUCGAGCCUUCCCAACUUCAAUCUGAUGCUUUAAAGCAUCAGACAAGUGCAUAGUGAGAGGCCUGGUUCGGAACCAGGUUGACUCGGUGCGAACCGGCCGAUUUGCACCAAGUUUGAACUGAACCGGCCGGUUUCGAUCGGUUCAGGACCAGUUCUGGCCAGUUCGGUAUAGAUUCCGGCCGGUACACGGCCAGAACUGAAAAUAAUAAGCGAACCAACCCGGUACCAAAAAUAAUAAGCAAACUGACCCGGUACCGAAAAUAAUAAGCGAAUCGACCAAGUUUUGCACCGAGUCGAAUCGGGUCGGCUCUGCCCGAACCGGGUGGUUUGGCCCGGUUCGGCAGAUAUUGACUAAGACAAUAACGAACUCUACUUGAAGCAUACUACCUGAAUGCUCGAUUUUAGUACACUAUAGCCAGAAUCGAUAUGGAUGACGAACUUCUGGCCGUUCUGCGUAAUGUGAUUUACAAAAUAAAGCCUGAUCCAAAAGUCGCGGCCCUAUGUCUAGAAGAGGUAAGUUAACUUAAGUGACAUGUGUAAGUUAACUGGUAUCUUAAAUUAUUAACAUAUUACAACAUGGUUCUUUUUCACAGACCAAAAUAUUUAGAGAGGGCACUGAUAGCUUUGGAGUCUCCGCAAUUGUCGUAAGAAAAGUAUGAAUUCUGGUAUAUUACACAUCAGGACAUUUACCUAGUGUUACACGCUUACUAAUAUAAUACUAUCUUAUAUGUAAUUUUCUUCAAUAUUUUUGCAACUGAAUGGUGGAUUCAUUUUGGUUUUGUUCGCAAAAAAUCUUAAGCGGCUAGCUAUCCGGAUCUUCCCAGAUGGUCUCCUUAAGUGGCUGUGAGUGCAACUGGUCAAUUUUCGCCCUCAUCUAAAGCAUACAGAGGAAACGUUUGACAUAGAAGCGCCUCAACAACCUUGUAUAUAUUCACUACAAUCUAAGGUUGAGGCUAAAGUGCAUUUAGGAGGAAGUGGAGCUAAAGUACACAGAUCCAAUCCAUAGUGCUUUUGUUGAUGAUAAGGACGAUCCUAUGAUCGAAUAGCUUGUGGGGCAGCAGAAGGAGCCGAAGCUUAAUAAGCGAGGAUCGCCUCUAUGACCGGUUAGUUUCGUAGCCAACGAGACUAAGGUCGAUGUAGGGCAAUGGGCAGAGAGAAAUAUUUCACGCAUCCUUCUAGCUGAUUCAGCCACGCCACAGCCACAGCCACAGAAGAGCCGAUCACCACAUGACUCUCUGUUCGAGACAUCCUCUCAGAGAUAUGUUCGAGAGAUGCUUAGACGAGGCCACUACGCUACCAGAUUGACUCGAUCAGGAGGAUGACAUACAUUCUUCCAACAUAGCUAGGCAGAGAGGGGCCCGAAAGAUAAGUAGGCAGAGAGUGACACAAAGGGUAAACAGACAACGAGUGGUACAAAGGGUAAGAAGGCAGCUUGUCUAGCACACUAAAAAAGAAAAACAAAGAGUACCUGCAGCCCCAAUGGAGUGUGGAGCUAGUUCACUCAGAUUCAGAUAUCAGGAGCAGCAGUUCUGAUGGUCAUUGAUAUGCUGGCCAGAAAGAGAGUGAAGGACAUGAGACCACCGUUUAUGAGACACAACCUCAGGAUGGUAUUCGAUUCACCGGUGAGUCCCCGUUUACGCAUACCACACAGGAUAGGAACCACAGUGCACAAUCUGAUGGAGCCUGUGAGGAUUCAAUUGCACAUAGAAGACGGGCUCCUCGAGGUCAUUCAGGAGGACAGGAUAUAGCAGUAGAUGAUCUCGCAUGUAGAGUAGGAUCUAUAGACGUAUUAGGUUUCGAAUUGUAUACUGGAUUUUAUUAUCGUAGCCACAGACAGCCUAUAACCUAUACGGGUACGGAUAUGGAUAUGGUGCGUCUGAGACAUCUUCCGAUGGCUACUACCCUACACAGCCUGGAGUAUUUUACGGGUCAGAUUUUGCUGUCGGCUUAUUCGGAUGGGCCCCUUCAUAGCCGGUUUAUCAGCCAGUUUAUCAGCCAAAGGACACCUCUUAGAGCCAGACCUUCAGUGAGAGAUCCUAAAGUGCUUAUAACCCGGAGUGUCUUUCUUAUGGGAUAAACAUAUAAGACUAAAAUAUCGUUUAAUUAAAGAGGUGAACUAAUGUACCUCUUGACUAUGCUAAUGAUCUAAAUAUCUACGAGAAGCAUCACCAUUCAACGAGAUUUUAAAUAUUGACGUGUGUUGUACUUUAAAUAUAUGUAAUUUAUUGUAUUAUUUUAUAUUUUUACCUCGCUACUUGAUUUGAGGAUAUUUUAUGUUGUUUCUUAUAGCAUGCAACAUCUCACUAAUCAUUUUAUAUUUUGUAUCGUUUUAAAAUAAUAAGAUGCAUUAUUCAGGUUAAAUCGAAAUCACAAAAACAUCAAAAAAUAUGAAAAAAAUAUUAAAAUACAUCAAAAACAUCAAAUUAGACUUAAAAUCGUUGAAAAGUUCAAAAAGAUUGAUUACCAAUUAAAUCAACUUGAAAAAAUUCAAAAAAAAUGGAUGAAUCGGCACGCCCAAGCACUGUCGGUACGGUACUGGUCGGCACCGUACCGACCCAUCCGCCGACCGGUACGGAUUCCGAUACCAGUUCGGCAGACCUUGAUAAAUACAUUUUGCAUGCCUACUUAAAUUCAAGAUUCGUUGUCUCGGUACUGAGCCUCGUACCGAUGCCACACUAGCCCAGCAUCGGUAUGGUACAAUAUGAAAUUUUUUGAACCGAGUGUUAGUACACCACCCGUACCGGAUACCGGUACUGAAUCAGUACGAUAUGGUGCGCCCUGUACAGCUCAAUUCGGGCCGAUAUAGCAUACCGUGCUUAAAUUCCAUUUCAUGGUAAAAACGACAUCAAAACUAUGAUAAAAUUACAAAUUAGACAGCACCUAUCAAAAUAAUAAGUGAAAACAAAGAAAAAUGAGAACAAAAAAGGAAAAAACAACAAAAAAUAAGAAAAUGGUGUAUCGAUCAAUUGACCAGUAUGCCAAGGCAUACUUAAUAUCGGUACGAUACCGAACCGGUACCUACCAUACCAUUGGCCAACUGGUACGAGCUCUAGUCUGGUUUGGCAAUUUUUAGUCAAAACUUUGUACACUGGAGGCAAGAGCUACUCUUGAGAAAGCAUCGAAUGUAGUUUGGCCCAUGCUUUCCUACCUUCUCUCUCUAGUUCUUUAAAUAGGUUUCUAAAUUCAGUAAUAUAUUCUUCAAAAAAAUGAAAAUAUUUGUUAAGAAUUAAUCAGAGAUCUUACUUUGGUCAUGUUGCACCUGACACAUCACAAUGAAAAUUGCAUAUAGCAUGCUCAACUUUGAAGAGUAGCUUAACAAGGUUCGCCCACUCGGUACCAAACCCCAUACCAACACUACCUUGAUAUAGUGUCAGUACACCUAGUACGGGGUCGAUUCAACAUACUAAGACUCGAAUGCCCCCCAUAUCGUGUAUUGGCUCAGUACAAGUAUGGUAUGGUACAUCCAAUAUGCACUGGUACCAACCAAUACAGCAUACCAUACUUAAACUAGAUAACAUAGAAAUAGCCAUAUAACAAGACAUGUUGAUAUAUUAUGUUCAUAAUCUUUCUAAUAUAUCUCAUGAUAAAAUUAUUGUCUAUCCUUGUAAUUUGAACAGGCUUGUAGUUUAAAAAUCAUCAUUCCAAAACCUAUAAAAUAAUGUGGAGUUGUGGACCAUUGAGGUUUAUUUGAGGCAUUAGACAACUUAUAAAGGAUUUCUGAUACCAUUUGUGCAUAUUCUCUUAACACCUACAGAAGAAAUUACGGAUUAAAGAAUGCAUAAUGAAAGUAAAGAUACAGUUAGGGACUUUAAAUGCAUCACAUUGUGACACAAUGAGAUUCUUGUUUCAUUACUCCCUCACAUACUCAAGAUCUUUGCUAGGAAGCCAAUAGAUCUCCAAAAUAUGUUCUUUACCCUUCUGCUAAUUACAAAUAGCAAAAGUAAGUGAGAAAUAAAAGGGAAAAGGAAAACUUCUUUUCGAUUAAACAAGCAAUAUAAAAUGGUUAUGCUAAACAAAAAACAGGAUUGUUAUUCUUCCCUUGGAACUACCACUACAAAACAGCGAUUCUUUGACUCUUCUAAAAGAUGCUUUAGGAAAAAACUAAAAUAACCUACCAUCAAUCAGCACAAGGUAGAUUAUAAAUUAUAACAUUCUAAUCUAAUAGCUGGCAUAUAUGAACUGAAGGAGACACAUACUGGGAUAUCUUUUCCCUAACAUAGCUAACCAACAUAAAUUAUGCAAACACAUAUUCAUAUGCAUACAUAUAGAGAUAAAUACAAAUAAAUAUCACAAUGAUAGCUAAAAUAAUUAAUUUUUAUAAGGAUUAUUGUACCGGUUCCGGGCACCAUAUCAGCACCUUAUUAAUAUGGUACAGGUUGGUGCAUCACCCUUGUACUGGCACAUGGUAAACUGUGACAAGUGAGAUGGCAGAUGUACCAUAUGUCCAUAGGACUACCAAACUAGCCAAUUCAAGACAUACCGAACCAGACCAUCCAGUUACUGGCACAGUUCAACACUUUGGUUCGAUAUAUACGAGGUGGCCAGUUGAAGCCCUCCUGUUCGAAGCCCUAAUCAUGAUUACACUAUUCAAAACCCUCCCCAACUGCUUAAGGUGAGUCCCUCUCUCUCUCCCUCCCUCCCUCUAUCCCUUCCCCCCCUCUCGAUUUGAAGUCGUCAUUCAAAAGCCCUCCCUAUUUGAAAGCCCUAAUCACCGAUCCCCCCAUUCAAAACCCUCCACGAAGCCCUCAGUCGCUCGAGCAAGUCCCUCUCUCCCCCUCUCCAACACUCCCCC
rnacentral:lncRNA from 1 species